UACGUAGGUGGCGAGCGUUGUCCGGAUUUACUGGGCGUAAAGCGCGCGCAGGCGGCUCUUUAAGUAUGGCGUGAAAUCUCCCUGCUCAACGGGGAGGGUGCGUUGUAGACUGAGGAGCUUGAGGUCGGUAGAGGGGGGUGGAAUUGCUGGUGUAGCGGUGAAAUGCGUAGAGAUCAGCAGGAACACCCGUGGCGAAGGCGGCCCCCUGGGCCGUACCUGACGCUGAGGCGCGAAGGCUAGGGGAGCGACCCGG
rnacentral:rRNA from 1 species